rnacentral:rRNA from 1 species
UCUGACGACCAUAGCUGCCUGGUCCCACCCCUUCCCAUCCCGAACAGGACCGUGAAACAGGUACGCGCCGAUGAUAGUGAGAUUCGCUCUCGUGAAAGUAGGUCAUCGUCAGAC